CCUACGGGCGGCAGCAGUGAGGAAUAUUGGUCAAUGGGCGUAAGCCUGAACCAGCCAAGUAGCGUGAAGGAUGAAGGUCCUAUGGAUCGUAAACCUCUUUUAUAAGGGAAUAAAGUGUGGAACGUGUCCUGUUUUGUAUGUACCUUAUGAAUAAGGAUCGGCUAACUCCGUGCCAGCAGCCGCGGUAAUACGGAGGAUCCGAGCGUUAUCCGGAUUUAUUGGGUUUAAAGGGUGCGUAGGCGGCUUUUUAAGUCAGCGGUGAAAGUCUGUGGCUCAACCAUAGAAUUGCCGUUGAAACUGGCAGGCUUGAGUAUGUUUGAGGCAGGCGGAAUGCGUGGUGUAGCGGUGAAAUGCUUAGAUAUCACGCAGAACCCCGAUUGCGAAGGCAGCCUGCUAAGCCAUGACUGACGCUGAUGCACGAAAGCGUGGGGAUCAAACAGGAUUAGAUACCCCAGUAGUC
rnacentral:rRNA from 1 species